GAACCAGUACCGUGAGGGAAAGGCGAAAAGAACCCCGGCGAGGGGAGUGAAAAAGAACCUGAAACCGUGUACGUACAAGCAGUGGGAGCACGCUUAGGCGUGUGACUGCGUACCUUUUGUAUAAUGGGUCAGCGACUUAUAUUCUGUAGCAAGGUUAACCGAAUAGGGGAGCCGAAGGGAAACCGAGUCUUAACUGGGCGUUAAGUUGCAGGGUAUAGACCCGAAACCCGGUGAUCUAGCCAUGGGCAGGUUGAAGGUUGGGUAACACUAACUGGAGGACCGAACCGACUAAUGUUGAAAAAUUAGCGGAUGACUUGUGGCUGGGGGUGAAAGGCCAAUCAAACCGGGAGAUAGCUGGUUCUCCCCGAAAGCUAUUUAGGUAGCGCCUCGUGAAUUCAUCUCCGGGGGUAGAGCACUGUUUCGGCAAGGGGGUCAUCCCGACUUACCAACCCGAUGCAAACUGCGAAUACCGGAGAAUGUUAUCACGGGAGACACACGGCGGGUGCUAACGUCCGUCGUGAAGAGGGAAACAACCCAGACCGCCAGCUAAGGUCCCAAAGUCAUGGUUAAGUGGGAAACGAUGUGGGAAGGCCCAGACAGCCAGGAUGUUGGCUUAGAAGCAGCCAUCAUUUAAAGAAAGCGUAAUAGCUCACUGGUCGAGUCGGCCUGCGCGGAAGAUGUAACGGGGCUAAACCAUGCACCGAAGCUGCGGCAGCGACGCUGAUGCGUUGUUGGGUAGGGGAGCGUUCUGUAAGCCUGCGAAGGUGUGCUGUGAGGCAUGCUGGAGGUAUCAGAAGUGCGAAUGCUGACAUAAGUAACGAUAAAGCGGGUGAAAAGCCCGCUCGCCGGAAGACCAAGGGUUCCUGUCCAACGUUAAUCGGGGCAGGGUGAGUCGACCCCUAAGGCGAGGCCGAAAGGCGUAGUCGAUGGGAAACAGGUUAAUAUUCCUGUACUUGGUGUUACUGCGAAGGGGGGACGGAGAAGGCUAUGUUGGCCGGGCGACGGUUGUCCCGGUUUAAGCGUGUAGGCUGGUUUUCCAGGCAAAUCCGGAAAAUCAAGGCUGAGGCGUGAUGACGAGGCACUACGGUGCUGAAGCAACAAAUGCCCUGCUUCCAGGAAAAGCCUCUAAGCAUCAGGUAACAUCAAAUCGUACCCCAAACCGACACAGGUGGUCAGGUAGAGAAUACCAAGGCGCUUGAGAGAACUCGGGUGAAGGAACUAGGCAAAAUGGUGCCGUAACUUCGGGAGAAGGCACGCUGAUAUGUAGGUGAAGUCCCUCGCGGAUGGAGCUGAAAUCAGUCGAAGAUACCAGCUGGCUGCAACUGUUUAUUAAAAACACAGCACUGUGCAAACACGAAAGUGGACGUAUACGGUGUGACGCCUGCCCGGUGCCGGAAGGUUAAUUGAUGGGGUCAGCGCAAGCGAAGCUCUUGAUCGAAGCCCCGGUAAACGGCGGCCGUAACUAUAACGGUCCUAAGGUAGCGAAAUUCCUUGUCGGGUAAGUUCCGACCUGCACGAAUGGCGUAAUGAUGGCCAGGCUGUCUCCACCCGAGACUCAGUGAAAUUGAACUCGCUGUGAAGAUGCAGUGUACCCGCGGCAAGACGGAAAGACCCCGUGAACCUUUACUAUAGCUUGACACUGAACAUUGAGCCUUGAUGUGUAGGAUAGGUGGGAGGCUU
rnacentral:rRNA from 1 species